rnacentral:misc_RNA from 1 species
AACCAUAGAAACCUGCGGAGUACCUGCGGAAGGAUCAUUACUGAGUUAGGGUCUUUUUGGCCCGACCUCCAACCCCAUGUUUAUUAUACCAUGUUGCUUUGGCGGGCCUGCCUUUCGGGGCUGCCGGGGGUAUCGCUGCCCCUGACUCGUGCCUGCCAGGAGCCUUCUUAAAUUCAGUGUUCAACGGUGCUGUCUGAGUCCCAGUAGCAAAAUAUCAAAAACUUUCAGCAACGGAUCUCA